rnacentral:lncRNA from 1 species
CUGGAUGAAAACAGAAUAAUCCUUUUUCAGAAGCAAAAGAGAUGCAGAGACUGCAGUUCUGGCACACUUAAGAUGGAUCCUGCAAAGAAGUGAAGGUUCCUUGUGCACUGCCUCUAGUGCACAGCACCUUAGUGCACGCUCUGUUGUCCAGAACUCACAGGUUAUACCAAACCUGCAAGAGGUAUGAUGCAAUAUGCCGUCCAUGUGGUUCAUGGGUGGAUCCAGAGCGGGGUGGAGUGCUAAAUGCCCAAAUCAGGGCAAAGAAUUUGUAAUGAACACCUGUCAAGGAACGUAUACAAUUACAUCACCUAGCGUGGCUGAUUUGUCUGCAGAACCAACAUCAAAUCCCUUGGUUUAA